rnacentral:rRNA from 1 species
UUCGCAAUGCCCGAAAGGGUGACGAAGCGACGCCGCGUGUGGGAAGAAGGCCUUCGGGUUGUAAACCACUGUCGGGAGUUAAGAAAUGUAAGGGUGUUAAUAGCGUCCUUACUUGACUAAGGCUCCGGAGGAAGCCACGGCUAACUCUGUGCCAGCAGCCGCGGUAAUACAGAGGCGGCAAGCGUUGUUCGGAAUUAUUGGGCGUAAAGAGCACGUAGGCGGCCUUGAAAGUCAGUUGUGAAAGCCUUCUGCUUAACGGAAGAACAGCAUCUGAUACUACAGGGCUUGAGUGCGGGAGGGGAGAGUGGAACUUCUGGUGGAGCGGUGAAAUGCGUAGAUAUCAGAAGGAACGCCGGCGGCGAAAGCGGCUCUCUGGCCUGUAACUGACACUGAGUGUGCGAAAGCUAGGGGAUCAAACGGGAUUAGAUACCCCGGUAGUCCUAGCCGUAAACGAUGGGCACUAAGUAGAGGGGUUUU